UAGUCAUAUGCUUGUCUCAAAGAUUAAGCCAUGCAUGUCUAAGUAUAAACAAUUCUAUACUGUGAAACUGCGAAUGGCUCAUUAAAUCAGUUAUAGUUUAUUUGAUAAUACCUACUACUUGGAUAACCGUGGUAGUUCUAGAGCUAAUACAUGCACAAAAGUCCGACUUCUGGAAGGACUGUAUUUAUUAGAUACAAAACCAAUGCGGGGCAACCCGGUCUUUUGGUGAUUCAUAAUAACUUCGCGAAUCGCAUGGCCUUGUGCUGGCGAUGAUUCAUUCAAAUUUCUGCCCUAUCAACUUUCGAUGGUAAGGUAUUGGCUUACCAUGGUUACAACGGGUAACGGAGAAUUAGGGUUCGAUUCCGGAGAGGGAGCCUGAGAAACGGCUACCACUUCCAAGGAAGGCAGCAGGCGCGCAAAUUACCCAAUCCUGACACAGGGAGGUGGUGACAAAAAAUAACAAUGCAGGACUUUCUAAAAGCCUUGCAAUUGGAAUGAGAACAAUCUAAACCCCUUAUCGAGUAUCAAUUG
rnacentral:rRNA from 1 species